rnacentral:rRNA from 1 species
UACGUAGGUCCCGAGCGUUGUCCGGAUUUAUUUGGCGUAAAGCGAGCGCAGGUGGUUUAUUAAGUCUGGUGUAAAAGGCAGUGGCUCAACCAUUGUAUGCAUUGGAAACUGGUAGACUUGAGUGCAGGAGAGGAGAGUGGAAUUCCAUGUGUAGCGGUGAAAUGCGUAGAUAUAUGGAGGAACACCGGUGGCGAAAGCGGCUCUCUGGCCUGUAACUGACACUGAGGCUCGAAAGCGUGGGGAGCAAACAGG